rnacentral:lncRNA from 1 species
GCUGUUGUACUGAAUGUUUUCUAUAUAUUAGGUCCUGUAGGACAGUCCCCCACACCCACCACCUGUACUGGGGAUUGAAGCCAGGGCCUUCACAUUGAGCUACACCUCUUGCUCGCUCUUUCUUUCUUUCUUCCUUUCUUUUUGAGACAGGCUCUUGCUAAAUUGCCCAGGCUGGACUUGAAUUUACGAUCCUCCUGCCUCAGCCUCCUUUGCAUCCUGCAAAAAGCAUGUUUUCUUGAUUUGAUCCAUUUUACAAGUGAGGAACCUGAGUCAUUGCUGGGAGGAACAAGGACCCAGGACUGGCAGCCCCCUCAGCCUGAAGCAAAGCAGAAAGUGCAGGACCAGGCAGCCUUUUUCCUCCCCCUUCUCUAGCAGGGGAGAUGGAGGCUCCCACAGCAAAGAGGGCUGUUCCAGGCCCUCAGCCUUCCGGUCGGGCCGGGCUCCACACCUCCGGAGACCCCAGCAGUGGCGUGUGGGGGUCCUGUGGGGGAGCGCUGGACACCCGCAGGCAGGGUGGACGUCUGCCCCAGUUUGCAGAGGAACAGAGUCUCAGGACAGAGGCUGGCUUGUCCAAGGUCCCACGGGGAACAAGGAGUGCAGGUGACAUGGGAAGCCGGGCCGUGCCCCUCCCGGGGUUGAGGGCGACGUCUGGAGGAGCGAGGAGGAAGGGCGGAGGCCUCUGGGCACCGGCUCCCCACAUCCCGGGUUAACCAUCCACCGGGGCUGCCCAGCAAGCGGCCAAAGUCCCUUCCCGGGGAACCCAGACCACACACCCAGUCUCAGGGUCACAGAGACACCAAAGAGUCGCAGAUCCGGAGGGAAAGGGACAGGAGGCCAUCCGCGCACUCGGGAAGGCUGAGGCGGGCGGAGGGCAUGUUCGAGCCCAGUCCUAGAGGGAAGUUGGAGACGGAGGGGCAGAGUAGCAGAGACCAAGGGACACCCAGUCAGGGACCCAGACAG